rnacentral:rRNA from 1 species
ACGUGAGUAACCUGCCUCUGACUCUGGGAUAAGCCUUGGAAACGGGGUCUAAUACUGGAUACGNGACGCUCGGGCAUCCGAAGUGUCUGGAAAGAUUUAUCGGUCAGAGAUGGACUCGCGGCCUAUCAGCUUGUUGGUGGGGUAAUGGCCUACCAAGGCGACGACGGGUAGCCGGCCUGAGAGGGCGACCGGCCACACUGGGACUGAGACACGGCCCAGACUCCUACGGGAGGCAGCAGUGGGNNAAUAUUGCACAAUGGGCGCAAGCCUGAUGCAGCGACGCCGCGUGAGGGAUGACGGCCUUCGGGUUGUAAACCUCUUUCAGCAGGGAAGAAGCGAAAGUGACGGUACCUGCAGAAGAAGCGCCGGCUAACUACGUGCCAGCAGCCGCGGUAAUACGUAGGGCGCAAGCGUUGUCCGGAAUUAUUGGGCGUAAAGAGCUCGUAGGCGGUUUGUCGCGUCUGGUGUGAAAACUCAAGGCUCAACCUUGAGCUUGCAUCGGGUACGGGCAGACUAGAGUGCGGUAGGGGAGACUGGAAUUCCUGGUGUAGCGGUGGAAUGCGCAGAUAUCAGGAGGAACACCGAUGGCGAAGGCAGGUCUCUGGGCCGCAACUGACGCUGAGGAGCGAAAGCAUGGGGAGCGAACAGGAUUAGAUACCCUGGUAGUCCAUGCCGUAAACGUUGGGCACUAGGUGUGGGGCUCAUUCCACGAGUUCCGUGCCGCAGCAAACGCAUUAAGUGCCCCGCCUGGGGAGUACGGCCGCAAGGCUAAAACUCAAAGAAAUUGACGGGGGCCCGCACAAGCGGCGGAGCAUGCGGAUUAAUUCGAUGCAACGCGAAGAACCUUACCAAGGCUUGACAUACACCGGAAACUUCC